rnacentral:rRNA from 1 species
CCGCCCCUUUAGUGCUGAAGUUAAUGCAUUAAGCACUCCGCCUGGGGAGUACGGCCGCAAGGCUGAAACUCAAAAGGAAUUGACGGGGGCCCGCACAAGCGGUGGAGCAUGUGGUUUAAUUUGAAGCAACGCGAAGAACCUUACCAGGUCUUGACAUCCUCUGAAAACCCUAGAGAUAGGGCUUCUCCUUCGGGAGCAGAGUGACAGGUGGUGCAUGGUUGUCGUCAGCUUGUGUCGUGAGAUGUUGGGUUAAGUCCCGCAACGAGCGCAACCCUUGAUCUUAGUUGCCAUCAUUAAGUUGGGCACUCUAAGGUGACUGCCGGUGACAAACCGGAGGAAGGUGGGGAUGACGUCAAAUCAUCAUGCCCCUUAUGACCUGGGCUACACACGUGCUACAAUGGACGGUACAAAGAGCUGCAAGACCGCGAGGUGGAGCUAAUCUCAUAAAACCGUUCUCAGUUCGGAUUGUAGGCUGCAACUCGCCUACAUGAAGCUGGAAUCGCUAGUAAUCGCGGAUCAGCAUGCCGCGGUGAAUACGUUCCCGGGCCUUGUACACACCGCCCGUCACACCACGAGAGUUUGUAACACCCGAAGUCGGUGGGGUAACCUUUUGGAGCCAGCCGCCUAAGGUGGAACAAGGGGU